rnacentral:rRNA from 2 species
CACCGGAGCUUGCUCCACCGAAAGAAAAGGAGUGGCGAACGGGUGAGUAACACGUGGGUAACCUGCCCAUCAGAAGGGGAUAACACUUGGAAACAGGUGCUAAUACCGUAUAACAAUCGAAACCGCAUGGUUUUGAUUUGAAAGGCGCUUUCGGGUGUCNCUGAUGGAUGGACCCGCGGUGCAUUAGCUAGUUGGUGAGGUAACGGCUCACCAAGGCCACGAUGCAUAGCCGACCUGAGAGGGUGAUCGGCCACAUUGGGACUGAGACACGGCCCAAACUCCUACGGGAGGCAGCAGUAGGGAAUCUUCGGCAAUGGACGAAAGUCUGACCGAGCAACGCCGCGUGAGUGAAGAAGGUUUUCGGAUCGUAAAACUCUGUUGUUAGAGAAGAACAAGGAUGAGAGUAACUGUUCAUCCCUUGACGGUAUCUAACCAGAAAGCCACGGCUAACUACGUGCCAGCAGCCGCGGUAAUACGUAGGUGGCAAGCGUUGUCCGGAUUUAUUGGGCGUAAAGCGAGCGCAGGCGGUUUCUUAAGUCUGAUGUGAAAGCCCCCGGCUCAACCGGGGAGGGUCAUUGGAAACUGGGAGACUUGAGUGCAGAAGAGGAGAGUGGAAUUCCAUGUGUAGCGGUGAAAUGCGUAGAUAUAUGGAGGAACACCAGUGGCGAAGGCGACUCUCUGGUCUGUAACUGACGCUGAGGCUCGAAAGCGUGGGGAGCAAACAGGAUUAGAUACCCUGGUAGUCCACGCCGUAAACGAUGAGUGCUAAGUGUUGGAGGGUUUCCGCCCUUCAGUGCUGCAGCUAACGCAUUAAGCACUCCGCCUGGGGAGUACGACCGCAAGGUUGAAACUCAAAGGAAUUGACGGGGGCCCGCACAAGCGGUGGAGCAUGUGGUUUAAUUCGAAGCAACGCGAAGAACCUUACCAGGUCUUGACAUCCUUUGACCACUCUAGAGAUAGAGCUUCCCCUUCGGGGGCAAAGUGACAGGUGGUGCAUGGUUGUCGUCAGCUCGUGUCGUGAGAUGUUGGGUUAAGUCCCGCAACGAGCGCAACCCUUAUUGUUAGUUGCCAUCAUUUAGUUGGGCACUCUAGCAAGACUGCCGGUGACAAACCGGAGGAAGGUGGGGGAUGACGUCAAAUCAUCAUGCCCCUUAUGACCUGGGCUACACACGUGCUACAAUGGGAAGUACAACGAGUCGCGAAGUCGCGAGGCUAAGCUAAUCUCUUAAAGCUUCUCUCAGUUCGGAUUGUAGGCUGCAACUCGCCUACAUGAAGCCGGAAUCGCUAGUAAUCGCGGAUCAGCACGCCGCGGUGAAUACGUUCCCGGGCCUUGUACACACCGCCCGUCACACCACGAAAGUUUGUAACACCC